AGAAACUGGGCGCAGCCUGAUCUAGCCAUGCCGCGUGAGUGAUGAAGGCCCUAGGGUCGUAAAGCUCUUUCGCCAGAGAUGAUAAUGACAGUAUCUGGUAAAGAAACCCCGGCUAACUCCGUGCCAGCAGCCGCGGUAAUACGGAGGGGGUUAGCGUUGUUCGGAAUUACUGGGCGUAAAGCGCGCGUAGGCGGACUAUUAAGUUAGAGGUGAAAUCCCAGGGCUCAACCCUGGAACUGCCUUUAAUACUGGUAGUCUUGAGUUCGAGAGAGGUGAGUGGAAUUCCAAGUGUAGAGGUGAAAUUCGUAGAUAUUUGGAGGAACACCAGUGGCGAAGGCGGCUCACUGGCUCGAUACUGACGCUGAGGUGCGAAAGUGUGGGGAGCAAACAGGAUUAGAUACCCUGGUAGUCCACACCGUAAACGAUGAAUGCCAGUCGUCGGGUAGCAUGCUGCUCGGUGACACACCUAACGGAUUAAGCAUUCCGCCUGGGGAGUACGGUCGCAAGAUUAAAACUCAAAUGAUUUGACGGGG
rnacentral:rRNA from 1 species